AACCUGCUGAAGGAUCAUGUGCACACGUGUGUACACUAACCUGCUAAUGAUAUUGUGGGCGGUGUAAGCUUGCAUUACAAUAAUAUUACAUGUGCCCUGGGCUGUGUGACUUGUUUUGCAAACAUUCGUUAUGCAUUGCAUAAACAAGUUUGGUAAACUGAGUGGUGCUGUGUUUGUGUACGAUGAUUAGGUUUUGCAACGAAUGUUUUAGUUCAAUACAUGAUGAAUAAUGCAGGACAAUGCAGUAUGCAUUGUGAAUUGCAGAAUUCCGUGAGCUAACAUAUGUUUGAAUGUUACUUGCGCCUUUGGGAUAUUCUUGAAGGUUUGCUUGAUUCAAUGCCAAUUACCUUCCAUAUGCAAUACUGCUGUUUAGCAUUGCUGUGAACAAAGAGAGUCAAUGUGUAUUGCAUUGAACCUGGAUGUGUUGCAGCUGCUUUGCAACCUAAACAUGGUUGAUUGGGGGCAAACUUGUUUCGUCAUGUGCUGGUUGCUGUGUAAAAUGUGAACAACUGAGACAAGCUGAAGACUUGCAUAUGCUUAGCAUGAAGUGAAGCACAUACACCUGCUGAAUUUAAGCAUAUAAGUAAGUGGUGGAAAUUAAACCAAAUGGGAUAUCUUUAGUAAUUGCGAAUGAACAAGGAUAUGCUUAGCUUGACAAAUGGAGCUAUUGGCUUUGAAUUGUAUUUGUGGAAUGUAUUACCAACAGAGGUGCAGGUGCCAGCCUAUUAAAUAAAGCGUCAAUGAGGGUGAGAAUCCUGUUUGUCAUGUGCAGCCCUUUGUGCACGGUGUAUAUUUGCUGAGUCACACUCCUUGGCAUUGGAAAGCAAAGUGGGUGGUAAGUUUCAUGUACAGGUAAACAUGCAAUUGAGACUGAUAGCACACAAGUACCAUGAGGGAAAUAUGAAAAGGACUUUGAAAAGAGAAUUAAAUGAGUUUGUAUUUGCUGAACACAAAGUAAACGGACUUGAUUUGCUUGGUGGGAGUGUUGCACUUGCUUGACAAGAGCUUUGGGCUGUGGGUGUAAUGAUUCUUUCUUUGCAUGCCAGUUUCUAUGUGUACAUCUGAUUACCUUUGCACAUGAAUGAUAAGUCUCCUGUGGGGGGUGGAUUGCAUGUGCAUGUAAUGAUUUGUGUUUUGAUAAAUGUGUCUGGUGUAUGUGUGUGUGUUCCUGUGCUUGGGGAUGCUUCCUUCCUUGGACUUACAAGCCCUGACACACACAUGCUGGCAAAAUGCUUCUGCUUGACCCGUCUUGAAACACGGACCAAGGAGUCUAACAUAUGUGCAACGUUUGAAGGUGGUAUACCUUUGUGUGCAAUGAAAGUGUCAGCUGGGAUGUGUGCACCAGCACCCAAUUAAUUAGCGGACAGAGGUUUGAGUUGGAGCAUAUCUAUUAGGACC
rnacentral:rRNA from 1 species